rnacentral:rRNA from 1 species
AUUAAUUGUGGACUGGAAUGAAUGGGUUAAUGAAAUUUAAGCUGUCUCUAAUUAACAUUAUAAAAACUAGUCAUUAAGUGAAGAAACUUAAAUUAAAUUGAAAGACAAGAAGACCCUAUAGAGCUUUACUCUAACCUAAAAUAACUAUUUUAGCAACAGUUCGGUUGGGGCGACCAGGGAACAUCAUCUCUAAACAAACAGAAAAAUAAUUCAUACAAUAUGACCCUUUAAAGAUCAUAAAAUCAAGCUACCUUAGGGAUAACAGGCUAAUUUUCCUACAGAGACCU